UCCGAAGGGGGCUAGCGUUGCUCGGAAUCACUGGGCGUAAAGCGCACGUAGGCGGACUCUUAAGUCGGGGGUGAAAUCCUGGAGCUCAACUCCAGAACUGCCUUCGAUACUGAGAGCCUUGAGUCCGGGAGAGGUGAGUGGAACUGCGAGUGUAGAGGUGAAAUUCGUAGAUAUUCGCAAGAACACCAGUGGCGAAGGCGGCUCACUGGCCCGGUACUGACGCUGAGGUGCGAAAGCGUGGGGAGCAAACAGG
rnacentral:rRNA from 1 species